CCUACGGGUGGCAGCAGUGAAGAAUAUUGGUCAAUGGACGAGAGUCUGAACCAGCCAAGUAGCGUGAAGGAUGACUGCCCUAUGGGUUGUAAAGUUCUGUGAUGGGGGAUGAACACAAUGACGGUACCCCAAUAGCAAGCCACGGCUAACUACGUGCCAGCAGCCGCGGUAAUACGUAGGUGGCAAGCGUUAUCCGGAAUGACUGGGCGUAAAGGGUGCGUAGGUGGUUUAGUAAGUUGGCGGUGUAAUUCCGGGGCUCAACCUCGGCGCUACCGCCAAAACUAUUAGACUAGAGUGCAGGAGGGGUAAGUGGAAUUCCUAGUGUAGCGGUGGAAUGCGUAGAUAUUAGGAGGAACAUCAGGGGCGAAGGCGACUUACUGGACUGUAACUGACACUGAGGCACGAAAGCGUGGGGAGCAAACAGGAUUAGAUACCCCUGUAGUC
rnacentral:rRNA from 1 species